rnacentral:rRNA from 1 species
UGGGGAAUAUUGGACAAUGGGCGAAAGCCUGAUCCAGCCAUGCCGCGUGUGUGAAGAAGGUCUUCGGAUUGUAAAGCACUUUAAGUUGGGAGGAAGGGCAGUAAGCGAAUACCUUGCUGUUUUGACGUUACCGAUAGAAUAAGCACCGGCUAACUCUGUGCCAGCAGCCGCGGUAAUACAGAGGGUGCAAGCGUUAAUCGGAAUUACUGGGCGUAAAGCGCGCGUAGGUGGUUCGUUAAGUUGAAUGUGAAAGCCCCGGGCUCAACCUGGGAACUGCAUCCAAAACUGGCGAGCUAGAGUAGGGCAGAGGGUGGUGGAAUUUCCUGUGUAGCGGUGAAAUGCGUAGAUAUAGGAAGGAACACCAGUGGCGAAGGCGACCACCUGGGCUCAUACUGACACUGAGGUGCGAAAGCGUGGGGAGCAAACAGG